UGACUGGGUGUUUUUAUCUGGGUUGACUGGUUGUAUGGGCUGAGUGGGUGUAUAUGGGCUGACUGGGUGUUUUUAUAUGGGUUGACUGGGUGUAUAUGGGCUGACUUGGUGUUUUUAUAUGGGUUGACUGGGUGUAUAUGGGCUGACUGGGUGUAUAUGGGCUGACUGGGUG
rnacentral:lncRNA from 1 species